AUGCAUCCCGCCCGGGGCAUGACCUGCUCAGAGUUUGAGUGCCCUGAUUGUCGCCUCGUGAGCAACAGCACCCUUUAUGUGUCCAAGGCUGGAACAGAGGCUACGGGCCAGGGGAGCACACACCCUGUAUGUGUCCGUCCAAGGCCGCUGGAACAGAGGCUAGGGGCCAGGGGAGGUAGGAUAGGGCCCGAGUCCGAGCCCGACGACGACAAGGGCGAUGGCAGGGCCACACGUACAUGGAGCCACGCGAAAAUCCCUCUCGUGAGGCAUAAGGGCGCCGGACUGGCUGCCAGUGCCAGUGCCGGUGCCGGACGGACAGACAGAUAG
rnacentral:rRNA from 1 species